AAAGAUGUGGAUUUGAAAAAGAAUGUAGCGACUUGUUCGAGGCCAACAAUCAAGAUUAGAAAACUUGAUAGGCACGGAGAAUCGCUAUUUGUUGUUGCCAACCUUCAAGGCAACUUACGCCAUUUUUAUUUUGACGUCAUUGCUCUGCAAAUUGGCUUU
rnacentral:sRNA from 1 species